CUCCUACGGGAGGCAGCAGUGGGGAAUUUUGGACAAUGGGGGCAACCCUGAUCCAGCAAUGCCGCGUGUGUGAAGAAGGCCUUCGGGUUGUAAAGCACUUUUGUCCGGAAAGAAAUCCCCUGCUCUAAUACAGCGGGGGGAUGACGGUACCGGAAGAAUAAGCACCGGCUAACUACGUGCCAGCAGCCGCGGUAAUACGUAGGGUGCGAGCGUUAAUCGGAAUUACUGGGCGUAAAGCGUGCGCAGGCGGUUUUGUAAGACAGGCGUGAAAUCCCCGAGCUCAACUUGGGAAUGGCGCUUGUGACUGCAAGGCUAGAGUAUGUCAGAGGGGGGUAGAAUUCCACGUGUAGCAGUGAAAUGCGUAGAGAUGUGGAGGAAUACCGAUGGCGAAGGCAGCCCCCUGGGACGUCACUGACGCUCAUGCACGAAAGCGUGGGGAGCAAACAGGAUUAGAUACCCUGGUAGUCCACGCCCUAAACGAUGUCAACUAGUUGUUGGGGAUUCAUUUCUUCAGUAACGUAGCUAACGCGUGAAGUGACC
rnacentral:rRNA from 1 species